UUUCGGAAUCAACGAAGGAUCGAUUGCGAUCUUCAUGCUGUAAUCUUUUGGCCAACUACAGUAAGAGACGUCUCUCGAACUCGCGAUUCAUACUUAGGCAUGUACGAUUAGGCGAGGAAUUUAGCUAUAUCAAACUCGAUUUCUUCUUUUUCGAAAAAGAAAUCUAUCGAAACCUGAAAAGGAGAUUUUAUAUUGAUUGUAAUUGCUAGAAAUUCAAUCAGAAGAACAGACGAGACGAUGGAUUGCAAAAUAAACUUGUUAUUCAUACUUGUUGUCUUUAACACGUUUAGCAUGGGAUACCUAUGUUCUUCAAGAUAUGUGCCACCUCGUUAUUGUAGCUUUCCAUAUGAUAUGGGUCCUUGUUUCACGGUCAACAUGCCGGUCAAUAAAACUUAUAAAUUAAGAUUUUUUUUUGAUUCUAAAAAAAUGGUAUGUGUUCCUUUCAUGUACGGGGGCUGCGAAGGAAAUGAUAAUAACUUUAUAACUGAAGAAGUCUGCAUGAUUACAUGCCAUGAGGAUUAUUACUAUCAGUUCCAUCACAGAGAUGCACCAAAGGAUGAACCUUUAGAUCCGUUGAAUGUGCUUUGAGAAUAUAAAAGUGUUUAGAUUAUAAAAUUUUUGACGAUGUUCCAUAUAUUGAUAUACUUUUGUAAUAGUUUGAUAUUGACUUUAAAUAGAAGUACUAUUAAUAAAAGACUCUGUAAAGUCUUUAUGAAAUACUUGUAAAAGUGUCUUAUUUUUACAAUAAAUGAUAUAAAAUAUAUAGGAAUAUAUAUGUAAAUAAAAGAAAGCACUACUUAA